UACGUAGGGUGCAAGCGUUGUCCGGAAUUAUUGGGCGUAAAGAGCUCGUAGGCGGUCUGUCGCGUCUGCUGUGAAAACUCGGGGCUUAACCCCGGGCCUGCAGUGGGUACGGGCAGACUAGAGUGCGGUAGGGGAGACUGGAAUUCCUGGUGUAGCGGUGAAAUGCGUAGAUAUCUGGAGGAACACCGGUGGCGAAGGCGGCAUCCUGGACCGAUAUUGACGCUGAUGCGCGAAAGCCAGGGGAGCAAACGGG
rnacentral:rRNA from 1 species